rnacentral:rRNA from 1 species
GACGAACGCUGGCGGCGUGCUUAACACAUGCAAGUCGAACGGAGAGGCCCUGCAUUUGUGGGGUGCUCGAGUGGCGAACGGGUGAGUAACACGUUAGUAACCUGCCCUGGACUUUGUGAUAACUUCAAGAAACUUGGGCUAAGACCUGAUGUGAUCUCCGGCUGCAUGGUGGGGUGGGUAAAGUUUCGGCGGUUGGGGAUGGGCUCGCGGCUUAUCAUCGUGGUGGUGGGGUAGUGGCUUACCAAGGCUUUGACGGGUAGCCGGCCUGAGAGGGUCACGGGCCACAUUGGGACUGACAUCAGGCCCAGGCUCCUCCGGGAGGCAGAAGUGGGGAAUAUUGAACAAUGGGCGGAAGCCUGAUGCAGCAUGGCGGCGUGAGGGAUGAGGGCCUUCGGGUUGUAAACCGCUUUCGCCUGUGCCGAAGAGUGAGUGACGGUAAUGGGUAAAGAAGCACCGGCUAACUACGUG